AUCAAAAUUAGUGAAUGCACUGCAUCUCUCUGCAGUGGAGAGAAGCGACAAGGUAGGCUGUCAUUCUGCAAAAGCUGCCCAGAACAGGCUUUCCUCUGAAAAGCAGUGCCAUUCCUUUUUAGAAAGACUGAAUCUAAGUGUUGUCUCUGGAGACAAGAAGCCUUCAGUAUGUUAAAUUACUUUCAUUAUGUAUUUUCAGAUGCUUAUUGAUUCCACAGUAGGAAGAGUGAGAGACUGCAGCAGCCUCCAAGCAGCACUACAUGUUCCAUACAUUAGCAGUACUGCUGAAACAAUGGCAUAGUACAGACACAUAUUUUCAUUAAGGUCUCUUCCGAAGAGGUGAUUAUGACCCUCUUUCCCGGUCCUCUACUAACCAGUGAACAAAAUGAAUCAAUCAAAACUGGAAACGCUUCAACUACAUCAAGAAUCUUUCAAAUCUUUAGCAGAGGGCUCAAAGCAGCUAAUUCAGUAUUUACAACUGACAAUAUGAAGAAUGCAUCUGAUCCAUCAUCUCCCUAGCUGUCUGAACCAUAAACUGCAGGAUAUUCUUGCAACACAUGAUUUUAAGACAUUAAGGAGUUAAAACUGGAGAACAGAGGUCUACAUGACUGCUGGGAUUAUAACACAUCAAUAGUAAUAAUACUAAGAAGAUGCCAUAUAAAAUAGCCACAAAAUGAAAAACAAUGUAACUGAAAAACCCUGAAAACAAAAUGGUGAGCAUUUUUAAAGGAGAACUUUAUACUACAACAUUACCAGAAUUGUGGAGCCACCAAUUCUUGAAGAAACAAUGAAACAUGGAUUGCCAAAAGAAAUGACAUACAUUAUCAGCAAGCUAAUGAGGCUUUAUCAAGUAUUUUUCUGCACUAAAUAUUCAGAUAUUCAUAUCAAUUAAUAUUACUAAAGAAUUUUUCCAUCUGAGUUUUAUGACCAAUUAUGUGUCCUCUUCUAAUGAAAACAAACCAAAUUAAAUAGCAGAUGGUUUUUAUCAAGAGAACAUGGACUGGACUUACAAAGCAAGUUAUGUGACCAAGAAAUCAUUUCAAAGUAAUGAGGACUGCUAUAGAAGUAGAUUUACAUUUGUAACAAAAGGAUGUCUAAAAACAUUUUAGAAGCUAGGAACUUUAUGUUUCCUUUCUGUUUUCACAUGUUCUGGAAAAUAAAGAAACAUCAUCAUAAACUCUCUCA
ensembl:lncRNA